GGAGUUAUGAAAUGCAGAUUGGCUAAUACCCAACCUGUUUGACAAAGGCCCCAAAGGAAGCCACGGCUAACUCUGUGCCAGCAGCCGCGGUAAUACAGAGGUGGCAAGCGUUGUUCGGUAUUAUUGGGCGUAAAGAGCACGUAGGUGGUUUUGUAAGUCAGAUGUGAAAGCCUUCUGUUCAAAGGAAGAACGGCAUCUGAAACUGCAGAUCUUGAGUGUAGGAGGGGAGAGUGGAACUUCUGGU
rnacentral:rRNA from 1 species